rnacentral:rRNA from 1 species
CGGUGUUCAACUGGCGUGUCCGCGGGACGUCCUGCCGGUGGGCUUAGCCCGCAAGGGCGGCCCAACUUCAAAUCCCAUCGCGGUGCUCUUCACUGAGUGUCGAGGUGGGCCGGCACGUUUACUUUGAACAAAUUAGAGUGCUUAAAGCAGGCUAAAACUUCGCCUGAAUACUGUGUGCAUGGAAUAAUGGAAUAGGACCUCGGUUCUAUUUUGUUGGUUUUCGGAACCCCGAGGUAAUGAUUAAUAGGAACGGAUGGGGGCAUUCGUAUUGCGACGUUAGAGGUGAAAUUCUUGGAUCGUCGCAAGACGGACAGAAGCGAAAGCAUUUGCCAAAAACGCUUUCAUUGAUCAAGAACGAAAGUUAGAGGUUCGAAGGCGAUCAGAUACCGCCCUAGUUCUAACCAUAAACGAUGCCAGCUAGCGAUCCGUCGACGUUCCUCCGAUGACUCGACGGGCAGCUUCCGGGAAACCAAAGCUUUUGGGUUCCGGGGGAAGUAUGGUUGCAAAGCUGAAACUUAAAGGAAUUGACGGAAGGGCACCACCAGGAGUGGAGCCUGCGGCUUAAUUUGACUCAACACGGGAAACCUCACCAGGCCCGGACACCGGAAGGAUUGACAGAUUGAGAGCUCUUUCUUGAUUCGGUGGGUGGUGGUGCACGGCCGUUCUUAGUUGGUGGAGCGAUUUGUCUGGUUAAUUCCGAUAACGAACGAGACUCUAGCCUGCUAACUAGGCGUAUUUUCGACAUCUCAAAGGUCCGUCGUCCCGGCCCUCGGGUCGUGGGCGUGCGCGAUUUUUACUGUCGGCGUACUAUCAAUUCUUCUUAGAGGGACAGGUGGCUUCUAGCCGCACGAGAUUGAGCAAUAACAGGUCUGUGAUG